GAAAAGUUCACAACGGAUACAUUAGUACAAAGUACUCUACACAGAAUUGCAACGAAAUGGACCCCAACUUUCGAGGUGGGGUACUUGUCCUUGUGUGGAGGCAUCUCAGAAGAGCCUGGAGACUCCUGUGCUGCCGUGGGCCGGAUGAGACUGAUAUAAAACUUUCAGUGGAAGAAACAUCACCAUAUAUUGGCCAAAGCUCUGUCCGUCCAUGGUGAAAAAACUGAUGUUGUUUUUACAG